rnacentral:rRNA from 1 species
GAUGAACGCUGACAGAAUGCUUAACACAUGCAAGUCAACUUGAAUUUGGGUUUUUAACUUAGGUUUGGGUGGCGGACGGGUGAGUAACGCGUAAAGAACUUGCCUCACAGCUAGGGACAACAUUUGGAAACGAAUGCUAAUACCUAAUAUUAUGAUAAUAGGGCAUCCUAUAAUUAUGAAAGCUAUAAGCGUUGUGAGAGAGCUUUGCGUCCCAUUAGCUAGUUGGAGAGGUAACGGCUCACCAAGGCGAUGAUGGGUAGCCGGCCUGAGAGGGUGAUCGGCCACAAGGGGACUGAGACACGGCCCUUACUCCUACGGGAGGCAGCAGUGGGGAAUAUUGGACAAUGGACCAAGAGUCUGAUCCAGCAAUUCUGUGUGCACGAUGAAGUUUUUCGGAAUGUAAAGUGCUUUCAGUUGGGAAGAAAGAAAUGACGGUACCAACAGAAGAAGUGACGGCUAAAUACGUG